rnacentral:rRNA from 1 species
AUGUGCAUUCCCAAAUCUAGGGGAGGCAUGGGCUUUCGUGACAUUCACAGUUUUGACCUAGCAAUGCUCGCUAAACAAUGCUGGAGACUCAUAGACAACUAUGACUCACUUUGUGCCAAGGUCUUGCGAGCAAAGUACUACCCAUCGGGAGACUUGCUAAACUGUGAUUUGAAGAAGGGUUCUUAUGUAUGGCAAAGUAUUUGGUCAGGAAUUCAGACCUUGAAGGAAGGGUGCAUCUGGAGAGUUCGUAAUGGAUUGAAAAUUGAUAUAUGGGAUGAUUGUUGGAUCCCUAGCAGCAGCUCAAGGAAGAUACUGACAGUACGGGGAAACUGUAUCCUUUCCAAAGUGAACGAGCUUAUUAAUCCAAACACAGGUGAGUGGGAUGAGCCACUUAUUCGUGAUAAUUUUUGGCAUGUUGACGCUGAACGGAUCCUUCAGAUUCCUAUAUACCAGCAUGAGACUGAGGAUUUUGUAGCAUGGCAUCUCACCAAGUCGGGUAUUUUCACUGUACGGUCC